rnacentral:lncRNA from 1 species
AGCAGGUUUUGGGUUAAUUAACCGAGAGUUCAGAGUUUAGCAUAUGGUAAAUUAACCCAGCUUUCUGGAAUACAACCUAGAGCUCACUGUUUAUCGACGGCCGCAUGGCGCGCAUUCAAACACAUACACACAACCAACAGUGAUUUAAUUGCUGUUACUGCUGCUAUAUUUACCUGUCCCUAUUUGUUCUGUCAGCUAAAGUGGUACAGAACAGCAGGAGUCCGGUUUCUCUGAGUUUACCCGUGCUGUGGUAAAAGGGUGGGUCUGUUUUCUGCUUGGGCUUUCUUCAGCUCUCUUUACUCAUUUGUAUACAUUUGUGUAUUGUAAGCUGGGGACCUACAUUUUUGCAUUCCAGUUUUGGUUUUGACUGUUUUCCACCUUUGACUUUGGCAAAAUUUUCAGCAUGUCUGUACCUGCCAUGAGUCCGCUGGAUAAAGAUAGCAAUGCGUCUCGACAACCGGAUGCAUGUGCUGAUGUCACAUGUCAGUUUGGCAGCUGUGUGUUGGUGCAUGAUGAGCCUGUAUGUGAGUGUAUGCUGGGAUAUACUGGGGAAACCUGUCAGGAAACAGUCAAUGAGACUCUGGUUGUCCCUCUCACUCUCGGCGUCCUGACUGUCACCAUUUUCUGCAUUGUCCUGUUAUUUUCCAUUGCAAUUUUCUGUCAAAAGCUAAAGGCAAAAAAGAGAAAGAAGGCGGCUGAACAAGCUUUGUUAAGAAAUAGAGAGUGUCAUUGACAUGUCUUAAUGCGUCAUUCCAGAGAAAAGUACAGACAACACAUCUCUUACACGCUACAUGAAAGAACAUUCUAGCAUUACAUUUAAAUUUAUAUUCAUUGUGCAUGAAUUAGAGCUGUGCUGUUGUUAGAAGAAUAGAAGUGUCACUGAAUGUACUCCACAAAAAGUAUUUUAGGUCAAAAAGUGCAUAAAGUUCACAAGAUUUUUUUGGAUUAUUUUUCUCCUGUACUUGCGGGGGCCAUACAUGUGCAUUCAAAUAAAAGAAACUAGUUGCUGAGACAUGCCAAGCAUUUCAGUGCUAUUGUGGAUUUAGAUUAAGGUCAUGCGUGACAGGAGAGUCUGAAUGACUGAAAGCAGAUGAGAUUCGUAGACUGAUGGAUCAGUAUUUUUCUUUGACGUGUUCAUGAUAUACAGUCACACUAUUCUCAAGGCCCUCUGUUGCUUUUAAUUUUGUAAUUACACAACUGUUUACUGUGCAUGAUAUAUUUAUAUUAACAUUACAAGCUUUCUGUACAGUAUUUUCUAAUAAAGAUUUGUUUAUGACUGCUAA